GACGAACGCUGGCGGCGUGCUUAACACAUGCAAGUCGAACGGAAAGGCCCUGCUUUUGUGGGGUGCUCGAGUGGCGAACGGGUGAGUAACACGUGAGUAACCUGCCCUUGACUUUGGGAUAACUUCAGGAAACUGGGGCUAAUACCGGAUAGGUGCUCCUGCUGCAUGGUGGGGGUUGGAAAGUUUCGGCGGUUGGGGAUGGACUCGCGGCUUAUCAGCUUGUUGGUUGGGUAGUGGCUUACCAAGGCUUUGACGGGUAGCCGGCCUGAGAGGGUGACAGGCAAAAUUGGGGAUGAGAUACGGGCCAGCCUAAUCGGGGAUGAAGCAGUGGGGAAUAUUGCACAAUGGGCGGAAGACUGAUGCAGCAACGCCGCGUGCGGGAUGACGGCCUUCGGGUUGUAAACCGCUUUCGCAUGUGAUGAAGCGUGAGUGACGGUAAUGGGUAAAGAAGCACCGGCUAACUACGUG
rnacentral:rRNA from 1 species